GGAUUGAAUGCCGCAUUCAUUGUCAGUUAUAGCCACCUCUUCAGUUUCUUUGUUUAUGGCUAUAACUGCCAUAGUGGUUAUUAUAAUGGACAGUACAAUUCAUUUCUCAUCUUCCUACUCUCUGUAUCUUAUCAAAUCCAAACUACGAUGGUGGUGCUCCAAUGGUCGGUGCUGAGAUUGAGACCGUACGCAAGGUUAAUUUGAAAGCAACUGGUGGCAAUUCGUGACCAAGAAAUUGAAGAGACAGAGAGACAUAAGGAGAGAAAUCGAAAGAGAGAACCACGAGCAAGAGUGUGGGCAGUGACCAAACAAGGGUUCGAUUAGGGUGUUCUUGUUCGAUUGGGGUUCUGACCAGGUUUUGAAAGUCUUCCCCAAUCCAAUAACCGUGACUACAGUGCAGUUUGCUGUUGGGAGUGUCAUUGUGUUUUUGAUUUGGACCUUAAAUCUUCACAAACGACCAAAAAUUAGCGGUGCACAGGAAGCAAAAAGUAACAGUGAUAGCAUAACUGUUAAAACCUACCCCCAUUAUCUUGCCUUUACAGCAGACUAGAUCCCGGAUGGCGAUACUUGUUUUAAGUGUGCGUCACCCGUUUGCGAAGCAGCAAACAGAAACUUUGGGAGGCCUUAAUGGAUGGGGAUAGUGACAUUAUAAGCUCUGAUCAUUCAUCAUCAGACCUAGAGCACAAACUAUUCGCUGAAGGUAUUUUUUUUAGGGCAUGGGGUGGUAUAUCUUCAUUUCAAGUUUGUUACUUUUUUAAAGAAAUUUGGCAUUAAGUUUUAGUUGUGUUUGUAAGGGAUAAUGAACAAAAUUUAUAUUGGUUUCAUAUGGGCAUAAAUAUGGUGCAACUCUAGAGAAAUUAGUUUCAUAGCUAAAGUUUUAA